UCCAAUCUUUGUCCCACUUGAGCCCGGUG
rnacentral:piRNA from 1 species